rnacentral:rRNA from 1 species
AUUGAACGCUGGCGGCAGGCCUAACACAUGCAAGUCGAGCGGAUGAAGGGAGCUUGCUCCUGGAUUCAGCGGCGGACGGGUGAGUAAUGCCUAGGAAUCUGCCUGGUAGUGGGGGAUAACGUCCGGAAACGGGCGCUAAUACCGCAUACGUCCUGAGGGAGAAAGUGGGGGAUCUUCGGACCUCACGCUAUCAGAUGAGCCUAGGUCGGAUUAGCUAGUUGGUGGGGUAAAGGCCUACCAAGGCGACGAUCCGUAACUGGUCUGAGAGGAUGAUCAGUCACACUGGAACUGAGACACGGUCCAGACUCCUACGGGAGGCAGCAGUGGGGAAUAUUGGACAAUGGGCGAAAGCCUGAUCAAGCAAUGCCGCGUGUGUGAAGAAGGUCUUCGGAUUGUAAAGCACUUUAAGUUGGGAGGAAGGGCAGUAAGUUAAUACCUUGCUGUUUUGACGUUACAAACAGAAUAAGCACCGGCUAACUUCGUG